rnacentral:misc_RNA from 1 species
AAGUAGUGCCAUCUUGGAGGAUAGAAUUCAGCUGUUGGUCUUGUGUAACCUCCAUUAAAUCUUUCCACCAAGCUGACUCUUUAUUCCCUCUACUGCCUUCCACCAAUGAUCUCCAUCCACCAUACUUGGAAUCCAAUAUCUUGGACCAUAACUUGUUGCUUUGCUGAAGCAUGUCCCACCUCUAUUUUCCAAGUAGAGCCUUGUUGAAAGCCCAUAUAUCUUUUAUACCGAGGUCCCCUCUUUCCUUUGGAAGGCAAACUAUUUUCCAGUUCACC